rnacentral:rRNA from 1 species
GACGAACGCUGGCGGCGUGCCUAAUACAUGCAAGUUGAGCGCUGAAGGUUGGUACUUGUACCAACUGGAUGAGCAGCGAACGGGUGAGUAACGCGUGGGGAAUCUGCCUUUGAGCGGGGGACAACAUUUGGAAACGAAUGCUAAUACCGCAUAAAAACUUUAAACACAAGUUUUAAGUUUGAAAGAUGCAAUUGCAUCACUCAAAGAUGAUCCCGCGUUGUAUUAGCUAGUUGGUGAGGUAAAGGCUCACCAAGGCGAUGAUACAUAGCCGACCUGAGAGGGUGAUCGGCCACAUUGGGACUGGGACACGGCCCAAACUCCUACGGGGGGCAGCAGUAGGGAAUCUUCGGCAAUAGACGAAAGUCUGACCGAGCAACGCCGCGUGAGUGAAGAAGGUUUUCGGAUCGUAAAACUCUGUUGGUAGAGAAGAACGUUGGUGAGAGUGGAAAGCUCAUCAAGUGACGGUAACUACCCAGAAAGGGACGGCUAACUACGUG